rnacentral:rRNA from 1 species
UACGAGGGGGCAAAUGUUGUUCGGAAGUCACUGGGCGUAAAGGGAGCGUAGGCGGGUUUCUAAGUCAGGUGAUUUAAUCCCGGGGCCCAACCCCGGGACAGGCACUUGAAACUGGGAAUCUUGAAUAGUGGAGAGGUCAGUGGAAUUGGGGUGUAGCGGUGGAAUGCGUAGAGAUCGGGAGGAACACCAGAGGCGAAAGCGGACGACCUGGACAGGUACUGACACUCAACUACGAAAGCGUGG